UAAGUUAUUAAGGGCGCACGGUGGAUGCCUUGGCACUAGAAGCCGAUGAAUGACGUUACUAACGACGAUAUGCUUUGGGGAGCUGUAAGUAAGCUUUGAUCCAGAGAUUUCCGAAUGGGGAAACCCAGCAUGAGUUAUGUCAUGUUAUCGAUAUGUGAAUACAUAGCAUAUCAGAAGGCACACCCGGAGAACUGAAACAUCUUAGUACCCGGAGGAAGAGAAAGAAAAUUCGAUUCCCUUAGUAGCGGCGAGCGAAACGGGAAGAGCCCAAACCAACAAGCUUGCUUGUUGGGGUUGUAGGACACUCUAUACGGAGUUACAAAGGACGACAUUAGACGAAUCAUCUGGAAAGAUGAAUCAAAGAAGGUAAUAAUCCUGUAGUCGAAAAUGUUGUCUCUCUUGAGUGGAUCCUGAGUACGACGGAGCACGUGAAAUUCCGUCGGAAUCUGGGAGGACCAUCUCCUAAGGCUAAAUACUCUCUAGUGACCGAUAGUGAACCAGUACCGUGAGGGAAAGGUGAAAAGCACCCCGGAAGGGAGUGAAAUAGAACCUGAAACCGUGUGCUUACAAGUAGUCAGAGCCCGUUAAUGGGUGAUGGCGUGCCUUUUGUAGAAUGAACCGGCGAGUUACGAUUUGAUGCAAGGUUAAGCAGUAAAUGUGGAGCCGUAGCGAAAGCGAGUCUGAAUAGGGCGUUUAGUAUUUGGUCGUAGACCCGAGACCAGGUGAUCUACCCUUGGUCAGGUUGAAGUUCAGGUAACACUGAAUGGAGGACCGAACCGACUUACGUUGAAAAGUGAGCGGAUGAACUGAGGGUAGCGGAGAAAUUCCAAUCGAACCUGGAGAUAGCUGGUUCUCUCCGAAAUAGCUUUAGGGCUAGCCUCAAGUGAUGAUUAUUGGAGGUAGAGCACUGUUUGGACGAGGGGCCCCUCUCGGGUUACCGAAUUCAGACAAACUCCGAAUGCCAAUUAAUUUAACUUGGGAGUCAGAACAUGGGUGAUAAGGUCCGUGUUCGAAAGGGAAACAGCCCAGACCACCAGCUAAGGUCCCAAAAUAUAUGUUAAGUGGAAAAGGAUGUGGCGUUGCCCAGACAACUAGGAUGUUGGCUUAGAAGCAGCCAUCAUUUAAAGAGUGCGUAAUAGCUCACUAGUCGAGUGACACUGCGCCGAAAAUGUACCGGGGCUAAACAUAUUACCGAAGCUGUGGAUUGUCCUUUGGACAAUGGUAGGAGAGCGUUCUAAGGGCGUUGAAGCAUGAUCGUAAGGACAUGUGGAGCGCUUAGAAGUGAGAAUGCCGGUGUGAGUAGCGAAAGACGGGUGAGAAUCCCGUCCACCGAUUGACUAAGGUUUCCAGAGGAAGGCUCGUCCGCUCUGGGUUAGUCGGGUCCUAAGCUGAGGCCGACAGGCGUAGGCGAUGGAUAACAGGUUGAUAUUCCUGUACCACCUAUAAUCGUUUUAAUCGAUGGGGGGACGCAGUAGGAUAGGCGAAGCGUGCGAUUGGAUUGCACGUCUAAGCAGUAAGGCUGAGUAUUAGGCAAAUCCGGUACUCGUUAAGGCUGAGCUGUGAUGGGGAGAAGACAUUGUGUCUUCGAGUCGUUGAUUUCACACUGCCGAGAAAAGCCUCUAGAUAGAAAAUAGGUGCCCGUACCGCAAACCGACACAGGUAGUCAAGAUGAGAAUUCUAAGGUGAGCGAGCGAACUCUCGUUAAGGAACUCGGCAAAAUGACCCCGUAACUUCGGGAGAAGGGGUGCUCUUUAGGGUUAACGCCCAGAAGAGCCGCAGUGAAUAGGCCCAAGCGACUGUUUAUCAAAAACACAGGUCUCUGCUAAACCGUAAGGUGAUGUAUAGGGGCUGACGCCUGCCCGGUGCUGGAAGGUUAAGAGGAGUGGUUAGCUUCUGCGAAGCUACGAAUCGAAGCCCCAGUAAACGGCGGCCGUAACUAUAACGGUCCUAAGGUAGCGAAAUUCCUUGUCGGGUAAGUUCCGACCCGCACGAAAGGCGUAACGAUUUGGGCACUGUCUCAACGAGAGACUCGGUGAAAUCAUAGUACCUGUGAAGAUGCAGGUUACCCGCGACAGGACGGAAAGACCCCGUGGAGCUUUACUGUAGCCUGAUAUUGAAAUUCGGCACAGCUUGUACAGGAUAGGUAGGAGCCUUUGAAACGUGAGCGCUAGCUUACGUGGAGGCGCUGGUGGGAUACUACCCUAGCUGUGUUGGCUUUCUAACCCGCACCACUUAUCGUGGUGGGAGACAGUGUCAGGCGGGCAGUUUGACUGGGGCGGUCGCCUCCUAAAAGGUAACGGAGGCGCUCAAAGGUUCCCUCAGAAUGGUUGGAAAUCAUUCAUAGAGUGUAAAGGCAUAAGGGAGCUUGACUGCGAGACCUACAAGUCGAGCAGGGUCGAAAGACGGACUUAGUGAUCCGGUGGUUCCGCAUGGAAGGGCCAUCGCUCAACGGAUAAAAGCUACCCCGGGGAUAACAGGCUUAUCUCCCCCAAGAGUUCACAUCGACGGGGAGGUUUGGCACCUCGAUGUCGGCUCAUCGCAUCCUGGGGCUGUAGUCGGUCCCAAGGGUUGGGCUGUUCGCCCAUUAAAGCGGUACGCGAGCUGGGUUCAGAACGUCGUGAGACAGUUCGGUCCCUAUCCGUCGUGGGCGUAGGAAAUUUGAGAGGAGCUGUCCUUAGUACGAGAGGACCGGGAUGGACAUACCUCUGGUGUACCAGUUGUCGUGCCAACGGCAUAGCUGGGUAGCUAUGUGUGGACGGGAUAAGUGCUGAAAGCAUCUAAGCAUGAAGCCCCCCUCAAGAUGAGAUUUCCCAACUUCGGUUAUAAGAUCCCUCAAAGAUGAUGAGGUUAAUAGGUUCGAGGUGGAAGCAUGGUGACAUGUGGAGCUGACGAAUACUAAUCGAUCGAAGACUUAAUCA
rnacentral:rRNA from 1 species